UGGGGAAUAUUGCACAAUGGGCGAAAGCCUGAUGCAGCGACGCCGCGUGAGGGAUGACGGCCUUCGGGUUGUAAACCUCUUUCAGCAGGGACGAAGCGCAAGUGACGGUACCUGCAGAAGAAGCACCGGCUAACUACGUGCCAGCAGCCGCGGUAAUACGUAGGGUGCAAGCGUUGUCCGGAAUUACUGGGCGUAAAGAGUUCGUAGGCGGUUUGUCGCGUCGUUUGUGAAAACCAGCAGCUCAACUGCUGGCUUGCAGGCGAUACGGGCAGACUUGAGUACUGCAGGGGAGACUGGAAUUCCUGGUGUAGCGGUGAAAUGCGCAGAUAUCAGGAGGAACACCGGUGGCGAAGGCGGGUCUCUGGGCAGUAACCGACGCUGAGGAACGAAAGCGUGGGUAGCGAACAGG
rnacentral:rRNA from 1 species